GGCUGGUCUGAUGGUAGUGGGUUAUCAAAACAUAGCAUUAGUGACACGAAAGUUGGUCUACAACCCCUCACUGCUAAAUUUGACUGGCUUAAA
ensembl:misc_RNA Y_RNA Y RNA